CAGCCGUAAACUAUGCUCGCUAGGUGUCAGGCAUGGCGCGACCGUGUCUGGUGCCGCAGGGAAGCCGUGAAGCGAGCCACCUGGGAAGUACGGCCGCAAGGCUGAAACUUAAAGGAAUUGGCGGGGGAGCACAACAACGGGUGGAGCCUGCGGUUUAAUUGGACUCAACGCCGGACAUCUCACCGGAUAAGACAGCUGAAUGAUUGUCAAUCUGAAGGUUUUACAUGACUAGCUGAGAGGAGGUGCAUGGCGUAGACGUCU
rnacentral:rRNA from 1 species